rnacentral:rRNA from 1 species
GACGAACGCUGGCGGCGUGCUUAACACAUGCAAGUCGAACGGUAAGGCCCUUCGGGGUACACGAGUGGCGAACGGGUGAGUAACACGUGGGUGAUCUGCCCUGCACUUCGGGAUAAGCCUGGGAAACUGGGUCUAAUACCGGAUAGGACCACUGCCUGCAUGGGUGGUGGUGGAAAGCUUUUGCGGUGUGGGAUGGGCCCGCGGCCUAUCAGCUGGUUGGUGGGGUAAUGGACUACCACGGCGACGAGGGGUAGCCGGCCUGAGAGGGUGACCGGCCACAGUGGACUGUGCUACGGCCCAGAGUCCUACGGGAGGCAGCAGUGGGGAAGAUAGCCCGAUGGGGGCAAGCCUGAUGCAGCGACGCCGCGUGAGGGAUGGCGGCCUUCGGGUUGCAAACCUCUGUCAGUAGGGACGAAGCGCAAGUGACGGUACCUACAGAAGAAGGACCGGCCAACUACGUGCCAGCCGCCGCCGUAA